GAUGAACGCUGGCGGCGUGCCUAAUACAUGCAAGUCGAGCGAACGGACGGGAAGCUUGCUUCUCUGAUGUUAGCGGCGGACGGGUGAGUAACACGUGGAUAACCUACCUAUAAGACUGGGAUAACUUCGGGAAACCGGAGCUAAUACCGGAUGAUAUUUUGAACCGCAUGGUUCAAAAGUGAAAGACGGUCUUGCUGUCACUUAUAGAUGGAUCCGCGCUGCAUUAGCUAGUUGGUAAGGUAACGGCUUACCAAGGCAACGAUGCAUAGCCGACCUGAGAGGGUGAUCGGCCACACUGGAACUGAGACACGGUCCAGACUCCUACGGGAGGCAGCAGUAGGGAAUCUUCCGCAAUGGGCGAAAGCCUGACGGAGCAACGCCGCGUGAGUGAUGAAGGUCUUCGGAUCGUAAAACUCUGUUAUUAGGGAAGAACAUAUGUGUAAGUAACUGUGCACAUCUUGACGGUACCUGAUCAGAAAGCCACGGCUAACUACGUG
rnacentral:rRNA from 1 species